AUCCUGAUGAGGAGGAAUGACCUCAUGAUAGGAAGUGCCGUAUGACAGUUAUUAGCUGUGUGUGAUUUUAAAUGGGUCACUGAGGGAU